CUUACCGCUUGGCCAUGCCGCC
rnacentral:tRNA from 19 species